rnacentral:rRNA from 1 species
GAUGAACGCUGGCGGCGUGCUUAACACAUGCAAGUCGAACGAUGAAAGCGGGAGCUUGCUCCUGCUGGAUUAGUGGCGAACGGGUGAGUAACACGUGAGCAAUCUGCCCCGAACUCUGGGAUAAGCGUUGGAAACGACGUCUAAUACCGGAUACGACGCGCGAAGGCAUCUUCUGCGCGUGGAAAGAAUUUCGGUUCGGGAUGAGCUCGCGGCCUAUCAGCUAGUUGGUGAGGUAACGGCUCACCAAGGCGACGACGGGUAGCCGGCCUGAGAGGGUGACCGGCCACACUGGGACUGAGACACGGCCCAGACUCCUACGGGAGGCAGCAGUGGGGAAUAUUGCACAAUGGGCGAAAGCCUGAUGCAGCAACGCCGCGUGAGGGACGACGGCCUUUGGGUUGUAAACCUCUUUUAGUAGGGAAGAAGCGAAAGUGACGGUACCUGCAGAAAAAGCCCCGGCUAACUUCGUGCCAGCCGCCGCUGUAAUAC